rnacentral:rRNA from 1 species
AUUGAACGCUGGCGGCAGGCCUAACACAUGCAAGUAGAGCGGAGCGGAGGACGGGUGAGUAAUGCCUAGGAAUCUGCCUGGUAGUGGGGGAUAACGUCCGGAAACGGGCGCUAAUACCGCAUACUAUCAGAUGAGCCUAGGUCGGAUUAGCUAGUUGGUGGGGUAAAGGCAAACGAAGGCGACGAUCAGUAACUGGUCUGAGAGGAUGAUCAGUCACACUGGAACUGAGACACGGUCCAGACUCCUACGGGAGGCAGCAGUGGGGAAUAUUUGACAAUGGGCGAAAGCCUGAUCCAGCCAUGCCUGGUGUGUGAAGAAGGUCUUCGGAUUUGAAAGCACUUUAAGUUGGGAGGCGUUACCAACAGAAUAAGCACCGGCUAACUUCGUGCCAGCCGCCGCGGUAAUAC